GGAGGAAGAGAAGUAAGACGAUUCCCUAAGUAGUGGCGAGCGAACGGGGAAGAGCCUAAACUGACCAGAUGUAGAAGCCUGAAAGCGUUGUCUGGUUGGGGUCGUGGGGCUUUACGUUACGGUUCAGACGGUAGAAGACGACUUGGCCAUGGUAGCCGAAUGGUCUGGAAGGGCCAACUACAGGGGGUGAUAGUCCCGUAGGCGAAAUCAUGGGAAGCGUUUUGGUAGAGAACCCGAGUACUACGGGAUUCGAGUAAGCUCGUGGGAAUUUGCGUGGACCGUCACGUAAGGCUAAAUAUGACUGAGCGACCGAUAGUGAAACAGUACCGUGAGGGAAAGGUGAAAAGUAUGCCGACGAGGCAAGUGAAAGAGAACCUGAAACCGUGUGCCGGCAAGCAGUCAAAGGACUAUGCCAUGCUUCGGCGUGGAAUGUCUGAUGGCGUGCCUAUAGAAGAAUGAUCCGACGAGUUACCGUAUGCAGCG
rnacentral:rRNA from 1 species